rnacentral:misc_RNA from 1 species
ACACCUCAACUCCUCAUGGUCUUCUAUGAUGCGCUUGGACUUUGGGGGUUUGCUGGCCCAUUUGGUCAGCUCCUCUCAAAUGAAUCAGCCUACCAGUGUUUGGUGGCACCACCAGGUGUGAUAACAAUCUACGCUUGGAGUUUUCCACCAGGCAACCUUCAGUGAUGGGGGUUCACUGGGGCUCACAAAUGUCUUUCUUCAGUGAGGACAGCUCUUUGAAU